rnacentral:rRNA from 1 species
CCUACGGGGGGCAGCAGUGGGGAAUCUUGCGCAAUGGGCGAAAGCCUGACGCAGCAACGCCGCGUGCGGGAUGAAGGCCUUCGGGUUGUAAACCGCUUUCAGGAGGGACGCGGUACCUCCAGAAGAAGCCCCGGCCAACUACGUGCCAGCAGCCGCGGUAACACGUAGGGGGCAAGCGUUGUCCGGAUUUAUUGGGCGUAAAGAGCUCGUAGGCGGCUUAGUAAGUCGGGUGUGAAACCUCCAGGCUCAACCUGGAGACGCCACCCGAUACUGCUGGGCUAGAGUCCGGUAGGGGAGCGUGGAAUUCCUGGUGUAGCGGUGAAAUGCGCAGAUAUCAGGAGGAACACCAGCGGCGAAGGCGGCGCUCUGGGCCGGACUGACGCUGAGGAGCGAAAGCGUGGGGAGCAAACAGGAUUAGAUACCCUUGUAGUC